CCUACGGGCGGCAGCAGUCGAGAAUCAUUCACAAUGGGGGAAACCCUGAUGGUGCGACGCCGCGUGGGGGAAUGAAGGUCUUCGGAUUGUAAACCCCUGUCAUGUGGGAGCAAAUUAAAAAGAUAGUACCACACGAGGAAGAGACGGCUAACUCUGUGCCAGCAGCCGCGGUAAUACAGAGGUCUCAAGCGUUGUUCGGAAUCACUGGGCGUAAAGCGUGCGUAGGCUGUUUCGUAAGUCGUGUGUGAAAGGCGCGGGCUCAACCCGCGCACGGCACAUGAUACUGCGAGACUAGAGUAAUGGAGGGGGAACCGGAAUUCUCGGUGUAGCAGUGAAAUGCGUAGAUAUCGAGAGGAACACUCGUGGCGAAGGCGGGUUCCUGGACAUUAACUGACGCUGAGGCACGAAGGCCAGGGGAGCGAAAGGGAUUAGAUACCCCUGUAGUC
rnacentral:rRNA from 1 species